rnacentral:rRNA from 1 species
UACGGAGGGUGCAAGCGUUAUCCGGAUUCACUGGGUUUAAAGGGUGUGUAGGCGGACUUUUAAGUCAGUGGUGAAAUCUCCGGGCUCAACCCGGAAACUGCCAUUGAUACUAUUAGUCUUGAAUUCUGUUGAGGUAGGCGGAAUAUAUCAUGUAGCGGUGAAAUGCUUAGAUAUGACACAGAACACCGAUUGCGAAGGCAGCUCACUAAAUUGUAACUGACGCUGAGGCACGAAAGCGUGGGGGAUCAAACAGG